AUGGACAAAAUAUGGUUGCCACGUACAAAAUAUGGUUGUUAGUGGAAAUAACAAAUGGUUGCUAUGGGCAAAAUAUGGUUGCCACGUAUAAAAUAUUGUUGUUAGUGGUAAUAAAUAUGGUUUCUAUGGUACGAAAUAUUGGUUGCCACGUACAAAAUAUUGUAUUUAGUGGUAAUAAAUUAUGGUUUCUAUGGACAAAAUAUGGUUGCCACGUACAAAAUAUGGUUGUUAGUGGAAAUAACAAAUGGUUGCUAUGGACAAAAUAUGGUUGCCACGUACAAAAUAUUGUUGUUAGUGGUAAUAAAUUAUGGUUGCCAGGUACAAAAUAUUGGUAUUAGUGGUAUUAAAUUAUGGUUGCCACGAACAAAAUAUGGUUGUUGGUGGUAAUAACAAAUGGUUUCUAUUGGCAAAAUAUGGUUGCCAAAUACAAAAUAUAUUUUUUUAGGAACCAUAUUUUGCUCCUAGUAACUAUAUUUUCCGAUAAAUUCCUACCAAAUCUAAAAACUUGCAUGUUUGGGUAAUGUCCCAACAUAUGGUUUCUUGCACACACAUAUAGAAUAAAUCACAAGACACAUCAAAACAAAACUCCUACAAGGCGAAAAUAUAUUUAAAAUUUGGCAAAUCCCAAACCGUUGGGCUACAUUAUACAGUAAAUAUAAUACACAUUACAAAGGCAAUUAAUUAAUAAGAUAAUUAAUAAUUAAUAAGUUUUAUU